GGUUGCGAUCAUACCAGCACUAAUGCACCGGAUCCCACUCCGCAGUUAAGCGUGCUUGGGCGAGAGUAGUACUAGGAUGGGUGACCCCCUGGGAAGUCCUUUUUUUUCCGUUUUUUUUGUUCUUAUUAUGUUUACUAGUCGAUGUAUCUUUGGCGUAGCAUCCGAUCGGCCGAUUUCAUGAAAGGAAGGCUUUAACGAAUGCGCGCGCGCGCACGGCGGACACGGGGCGCGUGACGUAGGCCACGCAUGAGGGCAUCGGUGGGCAUGGGAUCAAGGCGUGGAAAGGUAUAAAGGAAUAAGGAGAUGGUACUCUUUCGGUUGCGAUCAUACCAGCACUAAUGCACCGGAUCCCACUCCACAGUUAAGCGUGCUUGGGCGAGAGUAGUACUAGGAUGGGUGACCCCCUGGGAAGUCCUUUUUUUUCCGUUU
rnacentral:lncRNA from 1 species